rnacentral:lncRNA from 1 species
AGCUGCUUCCUCGGAAGAGCACCCUAAGGCUGGGUGGCCACUAUCCUUUGCCUUGGCAGAGCCAGCCAGAAGGCCUAGGCACAACCCGCUGUGUUUGCUGACAGCCAACCUACCCUGGAGUUCCGGAGCGGCUUCCUAGGAAGUCUGGGGAGCGGUAGAAAAAUGGCUCUGCUGAGAUGAGCUCUUAAUUAAUGCACUGAGAGCCUGCAAGUCCCACCUCUCAACAGGAAUGAUUGACGUCCAAGGAUACAUAAAUUACACUAACUGAGCUCUGCCUCUAUAUAAGCUUUCCACAUCCAACUCAUCAGAGAAGCUAGGCUUGUACCAUAACCAAUACCCCUGCUUGGCAACUCUAAUGAGCAAACUGCCGCAAAAUUGAGAGAGAACACACCUUUUUGGUAAG